UCCAGAGGGUGCGAGCGUUAAUCGGAAUUACUGGGCGUAAAGGGCGCGUAGGCGGUGAUAUGAGUGUGAUGUGAAAGCCCUGGGCUUAACCUAGGAAGUGCAUCGCAAACGAUAUGACUGGAGUAGAGGAGAGGGUGGUGGAAUUUCCGGUGUAGCAGUGAAAUGCGUAGAGAUCGGAAGGAACGUCGAUGGCGAAGGCAGCCACCUGGCCUCAUACUGACGCUGAGGCGCGAAAGCGUGGGGAGAGAACAGG
rnacentral:rRNA from 1 species